rnacentral:rRNA from 1 species
UGAGUACGAGCGGCUACGGCCGCGAAGUGGAUGAUGUCAAGCUUCCAAGAAAAGCCCUAUACCCGUUAAGGCAUGAUGGCCUGUACCCGAAACCGACACAGGUGGGGUGGUAGAGAAUACCGAGGGGCGCGAGGUAACUCUCUCUAAGGAACUCGGCAAAAUGGCCCCGUAACUUCGGGAGAAGGGGUGCCACCGCGAGGUGGUCGCAGUGAAGAGGCCCAGGCGACUGUUUACCAAAAACACAGGUCUCCGCUAAGUCGCAAGACGAUGUAUGGGGGCUGACGCCUGCCCAGUGCCGGAAGGUUAAGGAAGCUGGUCAGCGCAAGCGAAGCUGGCGACUGAAGCCCCGGUGAACGGCGGCCGUAACCAUAACGGUCCUAAGGUAGCGAAAUUCCUUGUCGGGUAAGUUCCGACCCGCACGAAAGGCGUAACGAUCUGGGCGCUGUCUCGGAGAGAGGCUCGGCGAAAUAGAAUUGUCUGUGAAGAUGCGGACUACGUGCACCCGGACAGAAAGACCCUAUGAAGCUUUACUGUAGCUUGGUAUUGUGCUCGGGCUCGGAAUGCGCAGGAUAGGUGGGAGGCUUUGAUCCAUUGCUUGCGGGUGAUGGUGAGCCACUGGUGAGAUACCACUCUUUCCGAGCUAGAGUUCUAACAGCAACCCGUUAUCCGGGUGCUGGACAGUAUCAGGUGGGCAGUUUGACUGGGGCGGUCGCCUCCUAAAAGGUAACGGAGGCGCGCAAAGGUCUGCUCAGGCUGGUUGGAAAUCAGCCGACGAGUGUAAAAGCAGAAGCAGGCUUGACUGUGAGACCUACAAGUCGAACAGGGAGGAAACUCGGCUUUAGUGAUCCGACGGUUCUGCGUGGAAGGGCCGUCGCUCAACGGAUAAAAGUUACUCUAAGGAUAACAGGCUGAUCUCCCCCAAGAGUUCACAUCGACGGGGAGGUUUGGCACCUCGAUGUCGGCUCAUCGCAACCUGGGGCUGAAGUCGGUCCCAAGGGUUGGGCUGUUCGCCCAUUAAAGCGGUACGCGAGCUGGGUUCAGAACGUCGUGAGACAGUUCGGUCCAUAUCCGGUGCACGCGCAGGAAUAUUGAGAGGAUUUCUCCCUAGUACGAGAGGACCGGGAGGAACGCACCUCUGGUGUGCCAGUUAUCGUGCCAACGGUAAACGCUGGGUAGCCAUGUGCGGAGUGGAUAACCGCUGAAAGCAUCUAAGUGGGAAGCCCACCUCAAGAUGAGUAUUCCCAUGGCAUAAGCCAGUAAGGUCACGGGAAGAACACCCGUUGAUAGGCUCUACGUGGAAGCGCAGUAAUGUGUGAAGCGGAGGAGUACUAAUAGACCGAGGGCUUGA